rnacentral:rRNA from 1 species
UAGGGAAUCUUCCGCAAUGGACGCAAGUCUGACGGAGCAACGCCGCGUGAGUGAAGAAGGAUUUCGGUUCGUAAAACUCUGUUGUUAGAGAAGAACAGCGCAUAGAGUAACUGUUAUGCGUGUGACGGUAUCUAACCAGAAAGCCACGGCUAACUACGUGCCAGCAGCCGCGGUAAUACGUAGGUGGCAAGCGUUGUCCGGAUUUAUUGGGCGUAAAGCGAGCGCAGGCGGUCAAUUAAGUCUGAUGUGAAAGCCCCCGGCUCAACCGGGGAGGGUCAUUGGAAACUGGUUGACUUGAGUGCAGAAGAGGAGAGUGGAAUUCCAUGUGUAGCGGUGAAAUGCGUAGAUAUAUGGAGGAACACCAGUGGCGAAGGCGACUCUCUGGUCUGUAACUGACUCUGAGGCUCGAAAGCGUGGGUAGCAAACAGG